rnacentral:rRNA from 1 species
CCUACGGGGGACAGCAGUGGGGAAUAUUGCGCAAUGGGCGCAAGCCUGACGCAGCGACGCCGCGUGUGGGAUGAAGGUCUUCGGAUCGUAAACCUCUGUCAGCAGGGAAGAACGGUCACUGUGCUAAUCAGCAGUGAAUUGACGGUACCUGCAAAGGAAGCACCGGCUAACUCCGUGCCAGCAGCCGCGGUAAUACGGAGGGUGCGAGCGUUAAUCGGAAUUACUGGGCGUAAAGCGCUCGUAGGCGGUAUGUCAAGUCAAGGGUGAAAUCCCCGCGCUCAACGUGGGAACUGCCUUUGAAACUGGCAAACUGGAGUGUGGGAGAGGAUAGUGGAAUUCCAGGUGUAGGGGUGAAAUGCGUAGAGAUCUGGAGGAACAUCAGUGGCGAAGGCGACUAUCUGGCACAUAACUGACGCUGAGGAGUGAAAGCGUGGGUAGCAAACAGGAUUAGAUACCCCAGUAGUC